GGCAGCCUUGUCAAAUUCAGUGCAUCCUCCUCAGUGGGUGCCACUGGCCAAAAUGGCUGCCACAGCAAAAGUGUAGUUAAUGGGCCCCACUGUGCUUCAACACAGCCCCUGGGGAUAAAUAUUUACUACACACAGGU